rnacentral:misc_RNA from 1 species
UUUCCGUAGGUGAACCUGCGGAAGGAUCAUUAUUGUAUAACCGAGGUGCGAGGGCUGUCGCUGACCCGAAAGGCCAUGCACGCCCGAGUGCCCUCACACACAUCCAUCUCACCCCUAUGUGCACCACCGCGUGGGUCCCCCUUUGGCUUGUUCGGAGGGGGGCUUACGUUUUCACACAAACUUUGUAUGCAGUGUAGAAUGUAUUUUUUGUUUUUGCGAUCACGCAAUCAAUACAACUUUCAACAACGGAUCUCUUGGCUCUC